rnacentral:rRNA from 1 species
UCCAGACUCCUACGGGAGGCAGCAGUGGGGAAUAUUGGGCAAUGGGCGCAAGCCUGACCCAGCAACGCCGCGUGAAGGAAGAAGGCCCUCGGGUUGUAAACUUCUUUUAUUCGGGACGAAACAAAUGACGGUACCGAAUGAAUAAGCCACGGCUAACUACGUGCCAGCAGCCGCGGUAAUACGUAGGUGGCAAGCGUUAUCCGGAUUUACUGGGUGUAAAGGGCGUGUAGGCGGGAGAGCAAGUCAGACGUGAAAUUCCAGGGCUCAACCCUGGAACUGCGUUUGAAACUGUUCUUCUUGAGUGAUGGAGAGGCAGGCGGAAUUCCGUGUGUAGCGGUGAAAUGCGUAGAUAUACGGAGGAACACCAGUGGCGAAGGCGGCCUGCUGGACAUUAACUGACGCUGAGGCGCGAAAGCGUGGGGAGCAAACAGGAUUAGAUACCCCAGUA